rnacentral:lncRNA from 1 species
UAUACAUAUAUAAUUUGAUUUUUAUUCCUUAAAUAUCUCAACUUAAUCGCUUGAAUUCAUCUGUAAAUUGAAUAGAUCAAAGUUGACCCUAUAUUCUCUCGCCAUCAUCGAAUUGAAUCAGUCAACAAGAGAUAUACGUUUCAUAGCCUCUCAUUAGUCAUCUCUCAAAGAACCCUUGCCGUUUCUUCUCUCGAAGGCAACAAUAUACAAGAAUCUACUCUCUUCAUCGCCUCUCACUACCAAGAAAAAACUGAUUGAACGAUGGUGACUGUGGCUAAAAAUAGUUAAAUCGGCUUCAAAACCAUUAUACAAAAAGCCCUAAAACAAACAUUCUUCCAUCGUCUAAUCGUCUCCCACUUCAGUUCUGAAGGACUCCCACUCGAAAGUACUUUUUUCUGAAGACCUUUGAAAGAUCCAAUUUUCUUUUAUCUAAUUCAAGGUAACUUCAUACUACUAGAUGUUUCUCACUUCCAUCCGCUUUUUUUCCCUGUCAAAAAAUUCUGUUUUUUUACUAUGUUUCAGGAUCUGAGAUGUCACUUUUCCAAGGUAAAAGACUUCCCCAAUCUUUCUUUGUGGAUUUUUAUUGGUUGAUUUAUGUGUGUAACCGAUUUUGUGUGCUAAAUUUUGUAGGAAGAUUCAAAAAUCAGAAAAGGAAGAAGCUGAAACAUGAGUUUAUUCAAGCUUCAUAUUUCCAGGUUUGUGUAAUUGAUGAAAGAUAUGGAUUUAUGUUUAAUUUUUUUUAAUAAUGGCUAGCAUUUUGUGAUUUAGUCACCCUGAUUUAUUAAAGUACUUGCUUUCUGGUGUCUUGUAGGGCAUAGAGAAACAGUUUGAAUAUGGAUUCGAAAAUCAACUACCUACAUUUGUUUUGCAUCUAAUCCAUCUGCUAGGUUUCUUUCAGAAAAUGGAUAAAAUAAGGCAAAAGGAUAUAUAUUUGUUUUAUUUGUUUAUUAGUUAGUGCUGAAGUUUCUCAGAUUUUCCAAGAACUUUUUGCAUUGAUAGUAUCUGUUUAACUCUAUAUGUGUAUGUGAUUGAACUUUGUUUGUGUGAAAUUUCUUGUAAGGAUUUAAAUAUGUGUUUUUUGAUGACUUUUUGUAGGAGAAAAUCAAAUCUUGGAUCAUUGUUUUGCUAUCUGGAACACACAAGGUAUCUUUCACUAAGCACUCAUAUUUAACAUAAACAUAACUAACUGAUUUAAGUAAAUCUCGAUUUUUUUUUUCACAAUCAUUUUUAAAAUAUCUAAUUUUGGUUGAAUUGUGUUUUUAACUGUUUAUGGAGUUUAGAGCAUAAUGGUCUAGGAAGAUGUGUAGCCCGUGAAAGAUCCUGCUCAAGCUUGUGGAUAGACCUACUGAAAGUCACAAUCCUUAAAAGAAAAUUGGUUUAUUUUUUUCAGCCUUUUGUUUGCAUGUUGACUCACCAGCUGCCAUGGGAUUCACAUUGUAGCUUGAGAUUUAGAUGUUUAUGUUGAUUUUCGNUAUGAUAUGAUGAAAUGUAUCAAGUUUCAAGAGUUGGGCCGAAUUAAAGUGUUUUUUUUAAGGUUAGUGUAAUUUUUUCUUAGAUAUAUGAAUGUGUAGUUUAUAAUUUCGUUUUUGGUUUGCAGGGGAAAAAGGUUUUAAUAUUCAGGAUGAAAAUAUUUUAUUUAAAGAAUCUUUUGACUUUUUUUUGACAGAAGGUAACAUUGUUAAUCAAGGAUAGUGUAAAUAUUUGAUGGAUUUAAAAAGACAUAAAUCCAUGAUAUGAAGUUUUAUUUUUUAAUUAAUCUUUUAGGUGACAGGUGUUGGGUUGAAUGAGCAAAAAUUGCUAAUUGUUAAAUUUGGGUUUUGAUGGAAUGCUCUCAAAUUGAUCUUGUCUGAUCCAUAUUGUCUAUUUGUUAGUUAAAUUUAUAGCAUAAAUGAAAAUUUACUCUUAAUAAAAAUUGCUAAUUGUCUUU